UACGUAGGGGGCAAGCGUUGUCCGGAAUCAUUGGGCGUAAAGAGCGCGUAGGCGGCCCAGUAAGUCCGCUCUGAAAGUCAGAGGCUCAACCUCUGGAUGCGGGUGGAUACUGCUGGGCUAGAGUCCGGAAGAGGCGAGUGGAAUUCCUGGUGUAGCGGAGAAAUGCGUAGAUAUCAGGAAGAACACCGGUGGCGAAAGCGCUCUGCUAGGCCGCAACUGACACUGAGGGACGAAAGCUAGGGGAGCGAAUGGG
rnacentral:rRNA from 1 species